rnacentral:rRNA from 1 species
GGCGGCGUGCCUAAUACAUGCAAGUCGAGCGCAGGAAACAAGUAGAUCCCUUCGGGGUGACGCUUGUGGAAUGAGCGGCGGACGGGUGAGUAACACGUGGGCAACCUACCUUGUAGACUGGGAUAACUCCGGGAAACCGGAGCUAAUACGGGAUGAUCAUUUGAAUCGCAUGAUUGAAAUGUAAAAGUGGGGAGUAAUCCUCACACUAUGAGAUGGGCCCGCGGCGCAUUAGCUAGUUGGUAAGGUAAUGGCUUACCAAGGCAACGAUGCGUAGCCGACCUGAGAGGGUGAUCGGCCACACUGGAACUGAGACACGGUCCAGACUCCUACGGGAGGCAGCAGUAGGGAAUCAUCCGCAAUGGGCGAAAGCCUGACGGUGCAACGCCGCGUGAACGAUGAAGGUUUUCGGAUCGUAAAGUUCUGUUAUGAGGGAAGAACAAGUGCCGUUCGAAUAGGGCGGCACCUUGACGGUACCUCACGAGAAAGCCCCGGCUAACUACGUG